CCUGGCCUCACUCACACUGCGAGUCACCCUGGCCUCACUCACACUGCGAGUCACCCUGGCCUCACUCACACUGCGAGUCACACGGGCCUGGGACUCGCACACACUGACUGACUGACACACCGAGUCACCGGGGCCUCACUGCCUCCAGCCCGGUACCUGACCCUCAGCCAGGCCCGCACACUGGUCUCCGGAUUGGCUGAGCCCACAGACCGGCCAUGAUGGGAGAUUAGCCCCAGCCUCCCCGGGACAGCCAGGUCUCACUACCAGCUAUAGUGACGAGUCAUUAUGGUGUCAUCAGGGGCCAGACCUGAUAUAGCCG